rnacentral:rRNA from 1 species
GACGGGGGGGCAAGUGUUCUUCGGAAUGAUUGGGCGUAAAGGGCACGUAGGCGGUGAAUCGGUUGAAAGUCAAAGUCACCAAAAACUGGCGGAAUGCUCUCGAAACCAAUUCACUUGAGUGAGACAGAGGAGAGUGGAAUUCCAGUGUAGAGGUGAAAUUCGUAGAUAUUGGGAAGAACACCGGUGGCGAAGGCGGCUCUCUGGACCGAGACUGACGCUGAGGCGCGAAAGCGUGGGGAGCAAACA